GUUCAAUCAGUUGUUCCAACAAUAUGUAUAGUUCAAAUAAGGAUAAAAUAAAAAAAAUAAAUUAUUUAAUAAUAAUCGCUUUCAACUGGGGUUUACAUACGAUGAAAUACUGUGUCUUUUAGCCCCCCAUUACCACACUAUCAUCAGUAUAAGUACUUUGAAGGGACACUGCAAGUAUUUGAGUUUGUUUAGUUGGAGGAACAGACAGAUUUGGAAGAAAUUGCUAUAUCUGAACAAAAUGCUCCAAAUUCUUCAUAACGCACUGGUCACUCAUUCACGCACAGCAGCCUAUAUUCUCAUAAAAUUACGACUUUUUUCUCAUAAUAUUACAACUUUUUUCUCGUAAUAUUACGACGUUUUUCUCGUAAAAUUACGACUUCAAUGUCGAAAUGCUACGACUUUAUUCUCAUAGCGCCCGCAUAACUUAUUUUAUUUAAGUGACCCUUAUACUCCGUCGUAGCUACGCGCUAACCAUGGAUCUAUUAAAAUAAUGGCGCUAACCAGCGACGUGCUAUUAAUAUAAUGGUGCUAACUAAUACCCAGAACGUGGUUGUUGUAAGCCCAAAAAGGCAGUUUAAAAUGCAAGAUUCUACCAAAUGUUUUAAUAACUUUGUGGUUUAUAAAGUUUUAGACACAGAUUUUAAAUAAAACUAUAGGUCUUAAUGCCAUUAGUAGGUGAUUUUUUUUAAAUAUAAUUUUUUUUUCAUGAACUCUAUGAGAACAAUAAAUAUGAGCUGUAGUUCUGGACCGGCGGGUUGAGCGUCACUGCUGAGCUCUGUUGUAAAUUUAAAUGUCAAUCCACUUUUUCUCACACAACAUUGGGAUCAGCCUCCAACUCUUUGUUCAAUUUGGUGUCAACUUAGCCCUGAAUAAAAAUAAUUUAAAAAAUAUCAUAUAAAGGUAAUAAAACAUAGCAGUAAUUGUAUAAUAAUUAAAAAAAACAGCAAAAUAAAAGCAAAUAAUAAUCAUCAUUGAUAAAGACUUUUGGUAGACAAAGUCAACACACUCUGUUCACACUUGCACAGCUAACGGGUCGACAUAAACAAACAUUGUCCCGAACAAAAGCGAACAAACAGCUCCUCCGGGACGCUAAGUGAUGGCCCCGACAAGGAAAAGUAUAUCGCAAAACAAACAAAAAAAGGCAUAAAUUCAAAUAAACUACAAGUGUAAAAAUUAUAAAUAAACAUUUGUGCAUCCCCGCCUUUUAUCGACUGUUGCUUUGUAAAAUCAAACUGAAAAAGGGAGUAAGAAACAAACAGAUGGCAGUUACAGUGGUGACGAUAACAUGCGUUUGAUAUACAGCAUUUUGUCAGUUAUUCCCGAAUAUGAAAAGCCAAGCCGGCCCUCUCUGAGCCCAACUGCAGGACACAUUUUUGGUUCAAGACAACUACAAACAUCAGAUUACGUGUGUUUUAUUACAUUUUCUACUGCGGAGGAACACAUAGACUAUUCCCAAAUGCUCAGUAAAAGCUCAAAUGAUUCAAGUUCCGUUUUGAAUUUAUUCUAGUUUUGUAUUUGAACGCAUGCAACGGAUAAUCCAAAACUGUCUCUGUUCUGCGCUGAAAAUAAGUCCUUGUGUCUAAUGCGCACAAAACAAAUCCAAAUUAUUUGUCACAGUUGUUAAAAACUCUUGUUCAGUUUCGGGGCGUUCACAUGGAGGGGUUUAAAGUAAUAAAACAACGUCACUGCAGCUAACCUUACACGAGCUGGUUCACACACGCAUUUAUUCCCCGUCAAAGCAACAGCGGACAUGGUUUGAACGCCUGCAUAGUGAAAAAUGUUAUUUGGUUUACUUACAAAUGGGGCUAUGACGCACACACACGCGCACACACACUGCUCCCUGGUGGCAAGGCGCGGCAGAGCAACACUAGCUCAAGUACUUUUGUCGUUGCUGUGGAAGCGAAUAUACAGAUAAAGCCACUGUUGGCAGUAGCAUCCCUAUGUACAGUGGGAUGACUUUUUACAUUAGUUAUGUGUCUUUGAGCUGAGCACAGAGGUGCUCAGAAACAAAAGAGCAGGACUGUGUAUGCGUGUGUGUUUACUUUUAUACAACAGCUUAAUACACAGUUUUGCAGUGGGAGACUGGCUUUAACUACACAUUGGAUAAGCCCAUAUUGGAUACACUGCAAUGGUUAUUUGUAUCUUGGCUCCAUUAUGCGCAGACGUCACCUUCAACCACGGAUCUCCAAAACCGUGAGUAUCCCUUAAAUCUUUUCACAGAUAUUGUGUAUGUAGGCCUG
ensembl:lncRNA